GAUGAACGCUGGCGGUGUGCCUAAUACAUGCAAGUCGAACGAGGUCUUCGGACCUAGUGGCGAACGGGUGAGUAACACGUUGGUACCUACCCUCUAGUGGGGAAUAACUGGCCGAAAGGUCGGCUAAUACCGCAUAAUACCGCAAGGUUAAAGUAGUAAUACGCUAGAGGAGGGGCCUGCGUCCCAUUAGCUUGUUGGUAGUGUAAUGGACUACCAAGGCAACGAUGGGUAGCUGGAUCGAGAGGUUGACCAGCCACACUGGGACUGAGAUACGGCCCAGACUCCUACGGGAGGCAGCAGUAAGGAAUCUUCAACAAUGGGCGAAAGCCUGAGGGAGCAACACCGCGUGCAGGAUGACGGCCUUCGGGUUGUAAACUGCUUUUAUAUGGGAAGAUUAUGACGGUACCAUAUGAAUAAGCACCGGCUAACUACGUGCCAGCAGCCGCCGUAA
rnacentral:rRNA from 1 species